UCAGGGCCCAAAGUCACUUCCAGGGUCUGAGUAGCCCCCUGGGUCCCACACACCGACCCCAGGGAGCCCACCUCCCCACUGACUCCAGUCCCUGCCUUUGUGUGGCAGGUUCUGGUCUGACACCUGUGAAGACCGUGACCUGGAGGCCUCAGCCUGAGACUCAGGGGGGAUGGAGCUUGUGCAGUGUCUGGCAGCUUAAAUGAGACACGAGGCCAAGGAAGGAGGGCCGCCUCUCUGCUCCGCCUCCGCUCCUGAGUCAGCUAGAUCAUGACUCGGGUACCAAGAAGAAAAGGAAGAUUAUAAAGGAAUCAAACACAGGAUGCACAAGAAUAUCAUCUGUGAUCAAGAUAAUCUGCUGGCCAUCCGCAGCGGUGGUUCAGGCACAUCAGAAUCAGCAUCUGGCCAAACAACAGGGUGGGGACCCAAAUAGCACCCCCACUGACCACUCCAUUGAAGGUACUGUGGAACUAA